rnacentral:rRNA from 1 species
GAGUCUAGCAUGUGCGCGAGUCAUUGAGACUAUAUAUUAAACUUAAAGGCGUAAUGAAAGUGAAUUAUUUUGUAUUUUCAAUACAUAUAUAUAAGGGAAGAUGGGUGAACUAUGUGUUUACCUCGCAUUCCCGGGGCGUUUCCACACUCAUUGCGAGUAGGGUACGCACCAAGAGCGUACACGCUGGGACCCGAAAGAUGGUGAACUAUGCCUGGUCAGGACGAAGUCAGGGGAAACCCUGAUGGAGGUCCGUAGCGAUUCUGACGUGCAAAUCGAUCGUAAGAGUUGGGUAUAGCGGCGAAAGACUUAUCGAACCAUCUAGUAGCUGGUUCCCUCCGAAGUUUCCCUCAGGAUAGCUGGCGUUCGAUUAAAUCUAUCUAUGUAUAUAAUGAGUCUCAUCUGGUAAAGCGAAUGAUUAGAGGCAUUGGGGUCGAAACGGCCUCAACCUAUUCUCAAACUUUAAAUGGGUGAGAUCUCCGGCUUGCACGAGUGAAGCCGGAGGUCGGAUCAAUGAGUGCCAAGUGGGCCAUUUUUGGUAAGCAGAACUGGCGCUGUGGGAUGAACCAAACGUUAAGUUAAAGCGCCCAAAUUAACGCUUAUGGGAUACCAUGAAAGGCGUUGGUAACUUAAUACAGUAGGACAGUGGACAUGGAAGUUGUA